rnacentral:rRNA from 1 species
AUUGAACGCUGGCGGCAGGCCUAACACAUGCAAGUCGAGCGGCAGCGGGAAAGUAGCUUGCUACUUUUGCCGGCGAGCGGCGGACGGGUGAGUAAUGCCUGGGAAAUUGCCCAGUCGAGGGGGAUAACAGUUGGAAACGACUGCUAAUACCGCAUACGCCCUACGGGGGAAAGCAGGGGACCUUCGGGCCUUGCGCGAUUGGAUAUGCCCAGGUGGGAUUAGCUAGUUGGUGAGGUAAUGGCUCACCAAGGCGACGAUCCCUAGUUGGUCUGCGAGGAUGGUCAGCAACACUGGAACUGAGACACGGUCAAGACUCCUACGGGAGGCAGAAGUGGGGAAUAUUGCACAGUGGGGGAAACCCUGAUGCAGCCAUGCCGCGUGUGUGAAGAAGGACUUCGGGUUGUACAGCACUUUCAGCGAGGAGGAAAGGUUGAUGCCUAAUACGUAUCAACUGUGACGUUACUCGCAGAAGAAGCACCGGCUAACUCCGUGCCAGCAGCCGCGGUAAGAC